UCCAUUAAAAAAAGUUGAUUUUUUUCACAUCGCAUCAAUUUUUCAUCAGAGCCAACUCUCAACAUCUACUACGUUUGACUCAUUCAGAUCAAUCAAUAAUUGCUAGUUCAGCCGAACAGAAACUAUAAUGAGUAUAGUAAAUCACUCGAUUGUUUUCAAUUUUUCAGUCAAUAGACGAAACUAUGCGGAAAAAACAGUUGGUACAUUACUAGAAGGUCGUCCGCUUAGAAAGCAUGAAGUAAGGUUAGUCCUCAUUUUUUAUUUGAUGUUUUUUAAUGAGGAAUACACAGAUAAUUGGUGACGCAGCUACGCCAUUGGCUGGUGGUUUACUAUAGGAAAACCACAAUUCCGGUUGAAAGUACAAGAGGAUAAAAAAUGCGGAUCCACAGUGUGCUCAGUGUACCAUAAAUAAUUGGAAAAGAGGAAAUUUUAGUGAUUUCAUUUAUAUUGUCGAGAAUUGGUGAAAUCGAUCUGGGAAAAAAAUUCGAAGAACCUGAUAAAUCAGAUGCUAAAAAUUUAUUCAAUGGAUGGCACUAAAAUAAAUUGUUUCAGAGAAAAAUUGUACCUUGAAUAUGCUAGGAAUAGUUCUUUGGAACAGAUAACUGUUUCGUGAGUUACCUACAUUAGAUCAACAGAAAGUCAACAGAUGUCACCUCAAUGUACGAAACACUGAAACUAUGCGAUAUUCAUCAAUAUCAUCAUCAUUAUCGAGAGUUUAUAUGUUGAAAUCAACUGUAAUAAACGGUGAUCAAUUUCUGGUAAGGAUUCCAACGAUUCGGAAGCUCUCUAUUUCUGUUAGAGUUUUGGCAGAGGUAGAGAUCCUCGGAUAUCGGUGGAACUCCAUGCCAGACAUCAGCCACCCUUUUUACAGUUUCUAUAGAAGCCAAAAAAAAAUUAUUUCAAAAUGUGAAUAUUUCAGCAAGGGAUUGAAAAUAAUAAGUAUGAAAUGUCAUUUUUUUUAAAAUCUUUUGUUGGAAAACCCUUUAUUAUGAAGAACAAUUUCAAAACAUUUCACAUCAUAUCUGACCGGAUUGGAUUUGAUACUUGAAUUCUAUGAUUGAAUUUAUUGGU